GUUGGUGGCGAGGUAGAGAUAUUGUGUAUAUAUAUUCUGUUAAAUUUUGAAUAAAAUCGCUCUAUUAUCUUAAUUUAUUGUUAUUAUCAUAAGGAAGAAACAAGCAAAAACAAUUCUCUCUUCAUAUUUUCGUUAUUUCUAAACGAAGCAGUUGCUUUACACUUCUAUAAAGGAUGAAACCGUGUAAAUUCUCUAGAAUCAAUUACAAAUUGUAACAUGAGGAACUUCUUAGUAACUUUGUGUUUAGUUCUGAAAAGAAAAUUUCCCUAACAUAAUUGAAAACUAAAAGCUAUUAAAAUAUGGAGAGUUAAUAAAAGAUGGCCUGGUUAAGCAAGACUGGUAAGUGCCCAGGCCAGGAGUAGCUGAUCUGAAUUGUUUGAUCCUUAUUCAACAAGGAGUUUGUGGGCCUUAAUAGAUGAAUGGCUAAUGGAAAUUGUGUGCUUCCCACUACCAUCGAGAAAUAAAAGCAAUGAUAAGGUCCUUUUCCCACUACCAUCGAGAAAUAAAAGCAAUGAUAAGGUCCUU
rnacentral:misc_RNA from 1 species